rnacentral:rRNA from 1 species
UAACACGGGAUACUCCCGUGGGACCGCAUGGCCCCGCGGGGAAAACGAUUCAGCGGAAGGGGAGGGGGUCGCGUCCCUUUACGUAGUUGGCGGGGCAACGGCCCACACCUAGGGCGACGAUAUGUACCCGGGGUGAGAGGGCGAUCGCCCCCAUUGUGACUGAGACACGGCCCAGACUCCUCCGGGAGGCCGCAGUGGGGAUUAUUUUGCGCAAUGGGGGCACCCCAGACGCAGCAACCCCGCGAGCGGAAAAGAUCUCUUGGGGUCGUAAUUCUGUUUCAGGAGGGAAAAACUUUGACUGUACCUGAAGAAAAAGCUCCGGCUAACUACGUGCCAGCAGCCGCGGUAAUACGA